ACGGCUCAGUAACACGUGGAUAACCUGCCCUUAGGACUGGCAUAACCCCGGGAAACUGGGGAUAAUUCCGGAUAGUUCAUGGUAGCUGGAAUGCUCCAUGAUCGAAAGCUAUUGCGCCUAAGGAUGGGUCUGCGGUCUAUCAGGUAGUAGUGGGUGUAAUGUACCUACUAGCCGACGACGGAUACGGGUUGUGGGAGCAAGAGCCCGGAGAUGGAUUCUGAGACAUGAAUCCAGGCCCUACGGGGCGCAGCAGGCGCGAAAACUUUACAAUGCGGGAAACCGCGAUAAGGGGACACCGAGUGCCAGCAUCUUAUGUUGGCUGUCCGCAUGUAUAAAUCACAUGUGUUAGCAAGGGCCGGGCAAGACCGGUGCCAGCCGCCGCGGUAACACCGGCGGCCCGAGUGGUGGCCACUAUUAUUGGGUCUAAAGGGUCCGUAGCCGGUUUGGUCAGUCUUCCGGGAAAUCUGACGGCUUAACCGUUAGGCUUUCGGGGGAUACUACCAGGCUUGGGACCGGGAGAGGUAAGAGGUACUACGGGGGUAGGAGUGAAAUCUUGUAAUCCUCGUGGGACCACCAGUGGCGAAGGCGUCUUACCAGAACGGGUCCGACGGUGAGGGACGAAAGCUGGGGGCACGAACCGGAUUAGAUACCCGGGUAGUCCCAGCCGUAAACUAUGCUCGCUAGGUGUCAGGGACGGUGCGACCGUUUCUGGUGCCGCAGGGAAGCCGUGAAGCGAGCCACCUGGGAAGUACGGUCGCAAGGCUGAAACUUAAAGGAAUUGGCGGGGGAGCAC
rnacentral:rRNA from 1 species